GAUGAAGAACGUAGCGAAAUGCGAUACGUAAUGUGAAUUGCAGAAUUCAGUGAAUCAUCGAAUCUUUGAACGCACAUUGCGCCCCCUGGUAUUCCGGGGGGCAUGCCUGUCCGAGCGUCAUUACAACCCUCAAGCUCAGCUUGGUGUUGGGCCCCGCCGCCCCGGCGGGCCCUAAAGUCAGUGGCGGUGCCGUCCGGCUCCGAGCGUAGUAAUUCUUCUCGCUCUGGAGGUCCGGUCGUGUGCUCGCCAGCAACCCCCAAUUUUUUUCAGGUUGACCUCGGAUCAGGUAGGGAUACCCGCUGAACUUAAGCAUAUCAAUAGCGGAGGA
rnacentral:misc_RNA from 1 species